GCUUCCACCGACGCUGGAUUAUUGCGUUUGACUACACGAGGAGUGUGGGACGAGAAGGAGCAGUGAGCACGAGGAGUGCAGGGACACUGGGGCAGAGAGCACUACACGGAGACUUUUGGGAAGAAGACACUACACGGGAGUCUGGGAAACUGGGGAUUUACUGUUGUUUACUUCACCACCUUGUAAAUAAACACUGCUGCACUGUA